rnacentral:rRNA from 1 species
AUAACGCUAGCGGCAGGCUUAAUACAUGCAAGUUGAGGGGCAGCAUGAUAUACGCGAGUAUAUUGAUGGCGACCGGCGGACGGGUGAGUAAUAGGUAGGAGACCUACCUCAUACAGGGGGAUAGCAUAGAGAAAUCUGUGGUAAUACCCCAUGAGGUUAUAUGAAUAGAGGCAUAUAAUCAAAGCAUAAGCGAUUAUGCGGUAUGAGAGGGGCCUACUGACCAUUAGCUAGUUGGUGAGGUAAGGGCUCACCAAGGCGAAGAUGGUUAGGGGUUUUGAGAGAGAGACCCCCCACAUUGGAACUGAGAGACGGUCCAGACUCCUACGGGAGGCAGCAGUAGGGAAUAUUGGGCAAUGGGCGAAAGCCUGACCCAGCCAUGCCGCGUGAAGGAAGACGGCCUUAUGGGUUGUAAACUUCUUUACUACGCGAAUAGAGGUUAGUACGAGAUACUAAUAGGAAGGUAGUGUAGUAAAAAGCACCGGCUAACUCCGUG